rnacentral:rRNA from 1 species
UACGUAGGGGGCAAGCGUUAUCCGGAUUUACUGGGUGUAAAGGGAGCGCAGGCGGUCACGCAAGUCAGAAGUGAAAGCCCGGGGCUUAACCCCGGGACUGCUUUUGAAACUGCGAGACUUGAUUGCAGGAGAGGUAAGUGGAAUUCCUAGUGUAGCGGUGAAAUGCGUAGAUAUUAGGAGGAACACCGGUGGCGAAGGCGGCUUACUGGACUGUAAAUGACGCUGAGGCUCGAAAGCGUGGGGAGCAAAC